GACACAUUUUAGGACUACCACACCAAAAGUUAAUAACAUGCUAAAUAUAUGAAGAAUUAGAAAUGGACACAUUCAGUUUUGAAUUAUUCACAUAUAAGGAAAUAUAAUUAUAUGUCAUUUGACAUAUAUUUUUUGAAUUAUUCUGUUUUUCACUUUUCACGUCAACCACCCAUAUGUCCUAUACCUUGACAGAAGCCAAAAUGAAGGCAGCAGGAGGAACACAGGCUCUGUCUGUGUCCUCCACCUGUGUCCCAGGAAUGUGUUUGCAUCCUGCCCAGCCAGGACGGACCCCGAGCCAGUUUAUGUGGACAGGCGGUGGAGGUAGAGCCAUGAUAACAGAGCCUUCCUCUCUGCUGCCCUACCAGGGGGUGAAGUGCAUCAUUGCUGUCUGCUGGUGAUGGUUCCUACAGAUGGCCUGCUGCCUGAAGUGUCUUCUCUGUGUAAACAGCCUGCAGUUCUGUCUGAUGCCAGUGAAUAUUUGUCCUGUGACUGUUGGUCUCAGAAGAAUCAUCUCGGCUUCCCAGUUGCACUGAGGAGUGCUGAUUUCAGGAUCUGUGCAUGCAUGAUGAGGUAGCAACGAGGCCGGCCAAUCAGAUCCCACUCUUCGUCUUCACCAAGCCCUUACCUAGUACCAUGGUCAUGUAGCGCUCCUCCACUCCAGCCUCCAGCAGCAGUGGGGGCACGUAUGUGAUCCCAGCUGCCACACAGAUCUCCAGGCCACAGGUCAGGGAGUUCAGCAGGACGAG